AACGAACGCUGGCGGCAUGCCUAACACAUGCAAGUCGAACGAGAUCCUUCGGCGUCUAGUGGCGCACGGGUGCGUAAACCGUGGGAAUCUGCCUUUAUGUCCGGCAUAACAGUUAGAAAUGACUGCUAAUAACGGAUGAUGACGUUAAGUCCAAAGGUCUAUCGCCUGAGGAUGAGCCCGCGUAGGAUUAGGUAGUUGGUGUGGUAACGGCGCACCAAGGCGACGAUCCUUAGCUGGUCUGCGAGGAUGAUCAGUCACACUUGGACUGAGACACAGCCCAGUCUGCUACGGGAGGCAGCAGUAGGUAAUAUAGGACGAGGGGCGCAAGCCUGAUCCAGCAAUGCCGCGUGAGUGAUGAAGGCCGUAGGGAUGUAAAUUUGUUUGACCCGGGAUGAUAAUGACAGUACCGGGAGAAGAAGCCCCGGCUAACUCCGUG
rnacentral:rRNA from 1 species